AUACGUAGGGAGCGAGCGUUGUCCGGAAUUACUGGGUGUAAAGGGUGCGUAGGCGGGACUGCAAGUCAGAUGUGAAAUGCCGGGGCUCAACCCCGGAGCUGCAUUUGAAACUGUGGUUCUUGAGUGAGGUAGAGGUAAGCGGAAUUCCUAGUGUAGCGGUGAAAUGCGUAGAUAUCAGGAGGAACACCGGUGGCGAAGGCGGCUUAAUGGGCUUUUACGGACGCUGAGGCUCGAAAGCGUGGGGAGCAAACAGGAUUAGAUGCCCUGGUAGUCCACGCUGUAAACGAUGAUUACUAGGUGUGGGGGGACUGACCCCUUCCGUGCCGCAGUUAACACAAUAAGUAAUCCACCUGGGGAGUACGGCCGCAAGGUUGAAACUCAAAUGAAUUGACGGGG
rnacentral:rRNA from 1 species